AGCUUUGCGCAUUGGCAGUAUCGUAAGCAGUGAGGUCUAUUCGAGGUGGGAUUAUUGCUAGUUGUAAUUUCAGCUCU
rnacentral:snRNA from 1 species